rfam:Schistosoma margrebowiei strain Zambia genome assembly, scaffold: SMRZ_contig0003444
GCACUGCUGAGGAGUCCCAUUCUGGGACGAGACGGCCGUCCAGUGC